rnacentral:lncRNA from 1 species
GGAUAAUGUUAUUCUAAUCUCUACAGAUUGAAGUCUUUUGCAGAAACCUCCCCAGAAACUCCUAGAGUAUUUACAAUCCAGAGGAUGGGCCAGUCAUGCACAGAAAGUCCAGGGACCAGGCGGCACCAUAACAUUACUGGGCAUGGUCAGGUUAAGUAAGACCAAGGUUUUGCCAACAGCUGUGACCAUCAAAAUCCAGACAUACCCACAGGCCUCUGUAUAGUUUGGAUCUGUGUCCCUGCCUGAAUCUCAAAUCUAACUGUAAUCUGCAGUGUUGGAGGUGAGGCCUGGUGGGAGGUGAUUGGAUCAUGGAGGUGGUCCCUCAUGAAUGGCUGAGCACUAUCCCCUCUGCGCUGUUCUUGUGAUAGUGAGAGCUCUCACAAGAUCUAGUUGUUUAAAAGUGUGCAGGCCGGGUGCGGUGGCUCACGCAUGUAAUCUCAGCACUUUGGGAGGCCGAGGCAGGCAGAUAACGAGGUCAGGAGAUCGAGACAAUCCUGGCUAACAUGGUGAAACCCCAUCUCUACUAAAAAUACAAAAAUUAGCUGGGCGUCGUGGCACGUGCCUGUAGUCCCAGCUACUUGGGAGACCAAGUCAGGAGAAUCACUUGAACCCGGGAGGUGAAAGUUGCAGUGAGCCGAGAUCGCACCAUUGCACUCCAGCCUGGGCAACAGAGUGAGACUCCAUUUCAAAAAAAAAGUAUGUAGCAUCUCUCUCCUCUCUCUCUUGUUCCUGUUCCAGUCAUGUAAGAUGUGCCUGCCUGCUUCCUCUUCCCCUUCCACCAUGAUUUUAAGCUCCCUAAGGCCAGCAGUGUGAGAAUGGACUAAUAUACCUUGUUUUAUGAAACGGCUGUAUCUGCAAAGGGAUCCGCAACACAGAAGGAGGCAGGAAACCAAAGAAUGAGACAGACAAAUCCAGUUUGUCAGUAAAGGGUAAUUUAUUGGGGGGAAUUUGUGGACAGAAGCAUGGUCUUGAGUGGUAGCAAGACAGGUAGUUCCCCAGGCUGUUACUGCCAAGAUUUAGGGCUUACUUAGUAUAGGAAAAGGGUAAAUAUGCACUAUAGGAAUGUGCAGGACAUUUAAGGUCAGCCUUCCAGAAAGAAAAUGAGGUGCUCAUCGUAGCCUGUAGUUUGUAUGAUGACAUAUAGGUUGCUUUGACCUAAGGAGAAGAUUUACAGUAAGUAUGUGCUCUUACACAAGAAACAGUAGAUCAAGUAGAAAUCUUAAAGGCAUUCCCAGAAAUCGGGUUAAUCCAAAGUCAACAUGGUGGAUUCGCAUCCAAGAUGGAGCUGCUUUAGCCUCCACAGGCUCCUUCCCCAGACCCGUGGAGCCCUUAGGGUUUAGAGGACCAGCGUAGAAAUUCUCAUCCAGGCAGUUUCUUCCUUUUGGUUCUCGAAAGGGAACUGAGUGUACACAUCUGCUUAUUAUUCUCAAAUAAUUUCUUCUUUCACCUUAUUAUUUCUCAAAUCUUUCCUUCUUUUCCCUCUCCACAGAAAAAGUUCCAGAAAAUUUAAAAAUCUUUUCAGAAAAGACAGUACACUGAGCAAGAUUUGCACAUCAAGAAAAAGUAGAGACAGGAGAUGAGAGUCAAGUGUUUUGGGGGGUAGAGAAAAAGACUAGGCUGGAAGGGGUACUGGGCCACUUGUGCGGGUGUGUACACCUGUGUGUGUGUGUGUGGUGUGUGCGUGUGUGUGGUGUGUAACAUUUCUACUUGAAAAACUCCAGCCCUCUCUAGCCUGGAUUAAUAGAAAGAUGUGUGUUUGCCCAUGGGCAGGUGGGGUGCUUGGGGGCAGGAGACCCUGGAAUGGGAUGCGGUGAUGGCAGCUGGGCUGUUGGGCAGGCGGGAUGAGCUGCAGAAGGAGCAGGGCUCUGGUUCCCAGGCUUGUCCAUCCUGCUGGCAUGGAGCCACCUCCAGGCUGUGGGGUGGGUGUGGUAGGUGGGGCUUCCUUCCUUCCCCAGACUAGCCCAGCAAUUCCCCAGGAAGCCAGACCUCUGCUACCCUUCUUUCUGCACCUCUACAGGGAGAGUCAUCCUGUCUGCACCAAGGAUGGGAAAAGCAGAGGAAUCCCACAGGCCAGAUCUUAGAAUCUUGCCUGGAAAUGAGGAAGUGGCAUGUCACCACCCAGUACCUUAGGAAGACCCUGCCCUGUCAGUCAGAGAUGGCAUCUUGGGUGACCACUCCCUGAGUGGAGGAAGAGAGGGUCCUGUGCAGGGAGCUUCCUUGGUGGAUCAUGGGGAUGAUGGUGACAGCAAUGCUGAGAGCCACAUGAAACCGAGUCCUCAGGAGGCCCUGUGAGGAUGGUGUGGUUCCCAUCACACUUCCCUGACAAGAGGGAAUUAUGAUCUUCAGACUCAGGAGAAAUAUGGGGUUUGUUUCAAGUCCAUGGAGCUCCACAGUUCUUUUGAGAGCUACAGCCUGUCCUGCUGCUGAGCCCCAUCCCAGUAGGCCAGCCACGCCCUCAAGGCCAAGAAGACCAAGCCAUGAAGAAUCUCAGGCCCACUGAAUGCCCGGGUGGCAGGGGCAGAGUGCCUCAGGGCUCAGGGAAGUUUGGGCUGAGUGUGUGCUCUGGGAGCCAGACAGCUAGCUGCACAGGGCUCCCAGCUCCACCAUGACCAGCCCUGUAACUGGGGCAGGGGACUCACUCCUGUGGUACUUGAGCAUCAUUGUCAUAUAAUUAAUGUGUCUGUCCAAUCCUUUUCUCUUUUUAUCUCUCUUCCUCUAUAAUCGCCAUGUACUACUGAUCUGUUAGUGAUUGUGUUCAAAUGAAUAAACAUAUGUUAAAUAGUG